rnacentral:pre_miRNA from 1 species
AGUGGAAUUGCUGGGUUAUAUGGUAAUUGUAUUUUAACUUUUUGAGGAACUGCCAAACUGCUCUCCAAAGCAGCUAUGCCAUUUUACAUUUCCGUCAGCAGU